CUGCCCAAAAGAGGGGGAUAACACUUGGAAACAGGUGCUAAUACCGCAUAACCAUAGUUACCGCAUGGUAACUAUGUAAAAGGUGGCUAUGCUACCGCUUUUGGAUGGGCCCGCGACGCAUUAGCUAGUUGGUGGGGUAAAGGCUUACCAAGGCAAUGAUGCGUAGCCGAACUGAGAGGUUGAUCGGCCACAUUGGGACUGAGACACGGCCCAAACUCCUACGGGAGGCAGCAGUAGGGAAUCUUCCACAAUGGGCGAAAGCCUGAUGGAGCAACGCCGCGUGGGUGAAGAAGGUCUUCGGAUCGUAAAACCCUGUUGUUAGAGAAGAAAGUGCGUGAGAGUAACUGUUCACGUUUCGACGGUAUCUAACCAGAAAGCCACGGCUAACUACGUGCCAGCAGCCGCGGUAAUACGUAGGUGGCAAGCGUUAUCCGGAUUUAUUGGGCGUAAAGAGAACGCAGGCGGUCUUUUAAGUCUGAUGUGAAAGCCUUCGGCUUAACCGGAGUAGUGCAUUGGAAACUGGGAGACUUGAGUGCAGAAGAGGAGAGUGGAACUCCAUGUGUAGCGGUGAAAUGCGUAGAUAUAUGGAAGAACACCAGUGGCGAAAGCGGCUCUCUGGUCUGUAACUGACGCUGAGGUUCGAAAGCGUGGGUAGCAAACAGGAUUAGAUACCCUGGUAGUCCACGCCGUAAAC
rnacentral:rRNA from 1 species